UCCGGCUUGACGCCGGCAGUCCCCCGAGAGUCCUCAGCUUUACCUGUUAGUAACACGGGGCAAGGGUUGCGCUCGUUGCGGGACUUAACCCAACAUCUCACGACACGAGCUGCCGACAGCCAUGCACCACCUGUACACCGACCACAAGGGGGGCACCAUCUCUGGCGCUUUCCGGCGUAUGUCAAGCCUUGGUAAGGUUCUUCGCGUUGCACCGAAUUAAUCAGCAUGCUCCGCCGCUUGUGCGGGCCCCCGUCAAUUCCUUUGAGUUUUAGCCUUGCGGCCGUACUCCCCAGGCGGGGCGCUUAAUGCGUUAGCUGCGGCACGGAGACCGUGGAAGGUCCCCACACCUAGCGCCCAACGUUUACGGCAUGGACUAC
rnacentral:misc_RNA from 1 species